UACGAAGGGGGCUAGCGUUGUUCGGAAUUACUGGGCGUAAAGCGCACGUAGGCGGACUUAUAAGUCAGGGGUGAAAUCCCGGGGCUCAACCUCGGAACUGCCUUUGAUACUGUAAGUCUCGAGUCCGGAAGAGGUGAGUGGAAUUCCUAGUGUAGAGGUGAAAUUCGUAGAUAUUAGGAAGAACACCAGUGGCGAAGGCGGCUCACUGGUCCGGUACUGACGCUCAUGCACGAAAGCGUGGGGAGCAAACAGG
rnacentral:rRNA from 1 species